UAGCUCAACAAAGCGUGGCAUUUACGUUGCCAGGGUUAGGGGUUCGAUUCCCACUGGGAACACCCA